AGGACGAACGCUGGCGGCGUGCUUAACACAUGCAAGUCGUGGGGGGUAGCAAUACCUCACCGGCGAACGGGUGCGUAACACGUGAGCAACCUACCUCGAUGCGGGGGAUAGCCGGCCCAACGGCCGGGUAAUACCGCAUACGAUCUUCGAGAGGAGUCUCUUGAAGAAGAAACCCUUCGGGGGCAUUGAGAGGGGCUCGCGGCCUAUCAGCUAGUUGGUGAGGUAACGGCUCACCAAGGCUAUGACGGGUAGCUGGUCUGAGAGGAUGGCCAGCCACAUUGGGACUGAGAGACGGCCCAGACUCCUACGGGAGCAGCAGUGGGAAUCUGCGCAAUGGACGAAAGUCUGACGCAGCGACGCCGCGUGCGGAGGAAGCUCGUCGGGUGUAAACCGCUGUUCGCCGGAACGAACGCCUUUUCGAGAGGCUUGACGGUACGGUGAGGAGCGCCGGCUAACUCUGUGCCAGCAGCCGC
rnacentral:rRNA from 1 species